AACGCACAUUGCGCCCUUUGGCAUUCCGAAGGGCAUGCCCGUUCGAGCGUCAUUAAAACCCCUCAAGCCUCGCUUGGUGUUGGGCGUCGGGCGUCGGCCCGCGCCUCUAUUCUAUCGGCUGGACGGUUGGUCAUCUCAGCGUUGUGCAAACGAAUCGCUCGGAGGAUCGCCGGACGCGCCGUUAAACCCCCAUCAAAGGUUGACCUCGGAUCGGGUAGGGAUACCCGCUGAACUUAA
rnacentral:misc_RNA from 1 species